rnacentral:rRNA from 1 species
ACUCCUACGGGAGGCAGCAGUGGGGAAUCUUCCGCAAUGGGCGAAAGUCUGACGGAGCAACGCCGCGUGUACGACGAAGGCCUUCGGGUUGUAAAGUACUGUCUUCAGGGACGAACGGUAAGUAUGUAAAGAAUGUACUUACAUGACGGUACCUGAGGAGGAAGCCCCGGCUAACUACGUGCCAGCAGCCGCGGUAAUACGUAGGGGGCAAGCGUUGUCCGGAAUCAUUGGGCGUAAAGGGCGCGUAGGCGGAUACUUAAGUCUGGUGUGAAAACCUGG